GCCCCCAUCGUCUAGAGGCCCAGGACAUCACCCUUUCAAGGUGGAGACAGGGGUUCGAAUCCCCUUGGGGGUACCA
rnacentral:tRNA from 1 species